UGAGGAAUAUUCGGCAAUGGGGGGAACCCUGACCGAGCAACGCCGCGUGGAGGAAGACGGUUUUCGGAUUGUAAACUCCUUUUCUGUGGGAAGAGCAAGGACGGUACCACAGGAAUAAGUCACGGCUAAUUACGUGC
rnacentral:rRNA from 1 species